rnacentral:rRNA from 1 species
UGGGGAGUGACGUCAAGUCCUCAUGGCCUUUAUGCCCAGGGCUACACACGUGCUACAAUGGGUGGUACAAAGAGAUGCAAUCUCGCAAGAGCAAGCAAACCUCAAAAAGCCAUCCUCAGUUCGGAUUGGAGUCUGCAACUCGACUCCAUGAAGUCGGAAUCGCUAGUAAUCGCGGAUCAGCACGCCGCGGUGAAUACGUUCUCGGGGUUU